GGAAUCUUCCACAAUGGACGAAAGUCUGAUGGAGCAACGCCGCGUGAGUGAAGAAGGUUUUCGGAUCGUAAAACUCUGUUGUUGGAGAAGAACACGUUUGAGAGUAACUGUUCACGCAGUGACGGUAUCUAACCAGAAAGUCACGGCUAACUACGUGCCAGCAGCCGCGGUAAUACGUAGGUGGCAAGCGUUAUCCGGAUUUAUUGGGCGUAAAGCGAGCGCAGGCGGUUUGAUAAGUCUGAUGUGAAAGCCUUUGGCUUAACCAAAGAAGUGCAUCGGAAACUGUCAGACUUGAGUGCAGAAGAGGACAGUGGAACUCCAUGUGUAGCGGUGGAAUGCGUAGAUAUAUGGAAGAACACCAGUGGCGAAGGCGGCUGUCUGGUCUGCAACUGACGCUGAGGCUCGAAAGCAUGGGUAGCGAACA
rnacentral:rRNA from 1 species